rnacentral:rRNA from 1 species
CCUACGGUGGGCAGCAGUGGGGAAUAUUGCACAAUGGGGGAAACCCUGAUGCAGCAACGCCGCGUGAGUGAGGAAGUAUUUCGGUAUGUAAAGCUCUAUCAGCAGGGAAUAGAAAAGAAGGUACCUGAAAAAGAAGCCCCGGCUAACUACGUGCCAGCAGCCGCGGUAAUACGUAGGGGGCAAGCGUUAUCCGGAUUUACUGGGUGUAAAGGGAGCGUAGACGGAAAGGCAAGUCAGAAGUGAAAGCCCAAGGCUCAACCAUGGGACUGCUUUUGAAACUGUCAAACUAGAGUACGGGAGAGGUAAGAGGAAUUCCUUGUGUAGCGGUGAAAUGCGUAGAUAUAAGGAAGAACAGCAGUGGCGAAGGCGGAUUACUGGACGAUAACUGACGGUGAGGCGCGAAAGCGUGGGGAGCAAACAGGAUUAGAUACCCGUGUAGUC